GACGAACGCUGGCGGCGUGCUUAACACAUGCAAGUCGAACGGGAAGGCCCUGCUUUUGUGGGGUGCUCGAGUGGCGAACGGGUGAGUAACACGUGAGUAACCUGCCCUUGACUUUGGGAUAACUUCAGGAAACUGGGGCUAAUACCGGAUAGGAGCUCCUGCUGCAUGGUGGGGGUUGGAAAGUUUCGGCGGUUGGGGAUGGACUCGCGGCUUAUCAGCUUGUUGGUGGGGUAGUGGCUUACCAAGGCUUUGACGGGUAGCCGGCCUGAGAGGGUGACCGGCCACAUUGGGACUGAGAUACGGCCCAGACUCCUACGGGAGGCAGCAGUGGGGAAUAUUGCACAAUGGGCGGAAGCCUGAUGCAGCAACGCCGCGUGCGGGAUGAAGGCCUUCGGGUUGUAAACCGCUUUCGCCUGUGACGAAGCGUGAGUGACGGUAAUGGGUAAAGAAGCACCGGCUAACUACGU
rnacentral:rRNA from 1 species